GGGGGCGUCAGGCUUCGACAGGGCUGAUUCGAUCUAGAGUUGCGAGCCGAGGUGCCGUUGGCCUCGUAAACAAACGGCAAAAAAAUAGUUGCUAAUGACAACUUUGCAUACGCUGCUUAAUUAAAUGCAGCGCGCUGGGCAAAAGGGUUCCAUCCUCGUUUGAUUCCGGCGUCGCAAAUGAUGGAUCGCUAGUGAGCCUCUGUUCGUGGCAAAGCUAGCUAAAUAAACCGAACUGGAUGAUGCGGCAGCCUGCCCUCGGGAGAGCCGUGCAUCGAGAAAAAGUACGAGGGAGACGCUCGUGGUGAUUCUAAGUACGGCGGCUUUGGAACCGGGUUCAAUUCCCGGCGCCUCCACCA
rnacentral:tmRNA from 1 species